UACAGAGGUCUCAAGCGUUGUUCGGAUUCAUUGGGCGUAAAGGGUGCGUAGGCGGCGCGGUAAGUCGGGUGUGAAAUCUCCGGGCUUAACUCGGAACGGUCAAGUGAUACUGUCGUGCUAGAGUACAGAAGGGGCAACUGGAAUUCUCGGUGUAGCGGUGAAAUGCGUAGAUAUCGAGAGGAACACCUGCGGCGAAGGCGGGUUGCUGGGCUGAUACUGACGCUGAGGCGCGAAAGCCAGGGGAGCGAACGGG
rnacentral:rRNA from 1 species